UACGGAGGGAGCUAGCGUUGUUCGGAAAUACUGGGCGUAAAGCGCGCGUAGGCGGACCUGCAAGUCGGGGGUGAAAGCCCGAGGCUCAACCUCGGAACUGCCUUCGAUACUGCGGGUCUCGAGUCCGGGAGAGGUGAGUGGAAUUCCUAGUGUAGAGGUGAAAUUCGUAGAUAUUAGGAAGAACACCAGUGGCGAAGGCGGCUCACUGGCCCGGUACUGACGCUGAGGCGCGAAAGCGUGGGGAGCAAACAGG
rnacentral:rRNA from 1 species